UUUUAUCUUUGCCAUGAAGGUUUUUGUAAAAUGAUGAAAAGGGAAUUUGGUUCAAAUCCAAAGCUGUACCCGCAACUGUAAGCUUAGUUUAAUAUAAACACUUCAAUCUGUUCUUUGCCACUAUCAUUGUUUGAUGGGAAGGUUGAUUGAAGAUGCAAGCCAGGAGACCUGCCUUUGUUAUAAUCGGUUU
rnacentral:ncRNA from 2 species